rnacentral:rRNA from 1 species
GAUGAACGCUGGCGGCGUGCUUAACAUAUGCAAGUCGAACGGAAAGGCUCCUGCUUGCAGGGGUACUCGAGUGGCGAACGGGUGAGUAACACGUGGGUGAUCUGCCCUGCACUUCGGGAUAAGCCUGGGAAACUGGGUCUAAUACCGGAUAGGACCACAUUUUGGAUGGUGUGGUGGAAAGUUUUUCGGUGUGGGAUGAGCUCGCGGCCUAUCAGCUUGUUGGUGGGGUAAUGGCCUACCAAGGCGUCGACGGGUAGCCGGCCUGAGAGGGUGUGCGGCCACAUUGGGACUGAGAUACGGCCCAGACUCCUACGGGAGGCAGCAGUGGGGAAUAUUGCACAAUGGGCGCAAGCCUGAUGCAGCGACGCCGCGUGGGGGAUGACGGCCUUCGGGUUGUAAACUCCUUUCGCUAGGGACGAAGCGCAAGUGACGGUACCUGGAGAAGAAGCACCGGCUAACUACGUG